CCCUUAGAUGUCCUGGGCUACACGCGCGCUACACUGAUGCGUCCAAUAAGCACCUAACCUAAUCCGAAGGGACCGGGUAACCUUAGCAAAGCGCAUCGUGAUGGGGAUAGAUUAUUGCAAUUAUUAGUCUUGAACGAGGAAUUCCUAGUAAGCACAAGUCAUCAGCUUGUGUUGAUUACGUCCCUGCCCUUUGUACACACCGCCCGUCGCUCCUACCGAUUGAAUGUUCCGGUGAGCUCUUCGGACUGCGCGGUCUGCAGUUUCUGCGUUCCGUGCGGAAAGUUGCGCAAACCUUAACAUUUAGAGGAAGGAGAAGUCGUAACA
rnacentral:rRNA from 1 species